rnacentral:rRNA from 1 species
CUCCGCCGGAGCACUACGAGCCACAGCUUAAAACUCAAAGGACUUGGCGGUGCCCUACACCCACCUAGAGGAGCCUGUUCUAUAAUUGAUAAUCCCCAAUAAACCUCACCGCCUCUUGCAAGUACAGCCUAUAUACCACCGUCACAAGCCCACCCCACCAAAGGAGUAAUAGCAGGCUAAACAAUCAAAAAUAAAAAAGUCAGGUCAAGGUGUAGCAUAUGAGCCGGAAAGAAAUGGGCUACAUUUUUUAUAAAAAAAACACGGAACAUUUUAUGAAACACAAUAUUAAGGAGGAUUUAGCAGUAAAAAGAAAAUAGAGAGUUCUUUUUAAAUUGGCAAUAGGACGAGCACACACCGCCCGUCACCCUCUUCAAACAAAACAUUAAACAAUAAAUAAUAAUCCCUUACACUCAGAAGAGGAAAGUCGUAACAUGGUAAGUCUACCGGAAGGUGGCCUUGGAA